rnacentral:rRNA from 1 species
CAGUCGCCGCGGUAAUACGAAGGGUGCAAGCGUUACUCGGAAUUACUGGGCGUAAAGCGUGCGUAGGUGGUGGUUUAAGUCCGUUGUGAAAGCCCUGGGCCCAACCUGUGAAUGGCAAUGGAUACUGGCGAGCUAGAGUGUGUCAGAGGAUGGUGGAAUUCCCGGUGUAGCGGUGAAAUGUGUAGAGAUCGGGAGGAAUAUCAGUGGCGAAGGCGGCCAUCUGGGCCGAUAUUGACGCUGAGGAGCGAAAGCGUGGGGAGCAAACAGGAUUAGAUACCCGCGUAGUCCCUGUCUCUUAUAC